AUCUAGCUGACAAGUCCCAAACAGAACGAAACGCCCAUCUUGGAU
rfam:Schistosoma rodhaini strain Burundi genome assembly, scaffold: SROB_scaffold0011716